UGAAACUACUCAGAGAGCCUCUGAUCCCUGACGAGCAUCUCUUCAGAGCUGCGUACAGUACCUGCCACAGCCCAAGUGCCACAGUCUUCUGCUACAGCACUUGCUGGAGCUCCUGCUUCUCCAUCGCUAUCUACGCUAGUACUCUCCUCCUCCCCGAGGACACCAAACUUCCACCAUGGUCGCUUGUAGAAUGAUGUGGUCACUGGUGGUGGUGGCGAUGGUCGUCGUAGUGGUCACACUGGGUCCGACUGGCGUCCGUGGACGGUCCGUGGAAGGGUCGGUGAGGCUGGAACGACUGCUGUCGGCCGGGUCAUCUUCAGCACCUCUGGGUUUCCUCUCACAAGAUCACAGCCUCAACAAGAGACAAGUGUUCGACCAAGCUUGCAAAGGCGUCUAUGACCGAGCACUCUUCAAGAAGCUUGACCGAGUUUGUGAUGAUUGUUACAACCUCUAUCGUAAACCUUACGUUGCUGCCUCCUGCAGGGGAAACUGCUACAGUAACAUGGUGUUCCGUCAAUGUCUGGAUGACCUGCUCCUUGUAGACGUUGUCGACGAGUACAUCUCCGGCGUCCAAACUGUCGGCAAAUAAGUCGAUGUGUCUACCAUAACUACCCAUGCCUCAUCUUACCAUCUCCUCCACAACACAAGCCACUUCCUGCCACAAAUACUACUAACACCACCAUCUGGUACACCUCGCCCGCCACAGCUACCAAACUCCCCCAUGAUAAUAAUCAACUGUUGAUCUGACCGAGUCUGUGUGACUGAACUUAAGACAUUUUUGACCACUUGAGGAAACUGUUGGAUGACUGAACACUUUCUUAAUAUCUUGAUAACUAAUAGCGAAUUUCCGGACUCCCUGGGCAAGUUGAAGCCGUCAGGAAACAUGCUAGUGCGUUAUUUUGUUGAUACUGCAAUUUAAAGACGGUAUCACAAGUGUAGGGAAGCCAGUGAGGGUUGAGACACAAUCUCGGAACCUAAAAACGUCCAGGAACUCCUAAAUGUUCCUCCAGGAUUGAAGAAUUAGACACAUGUACAGCAUUAGAUGUUACACAUGCGUCGAAUUCUUCAAAUUGUGUUGAAUACCAUAUAUGCACAUCCUCCAGAAUUACCAGAGGAACAGUCGGAGCGCUAGUGCUUCUCCCUAGUGGGCCUGGAGAGCAAUAGUUCAAUAAACUGCUUGAAUUACCACAGAAUAAUUAUCGAAGGAAACCACCCACCCGGAGCCACUAUCACAUGGACUUGGAGUCACCAUCACCUGAGAAGUCACUAUCAGUUGACAGUGUGUCCUACCCUCUUCCUAGUCAAUGGCAGCUGUUGUCGUUCCGUUGUUGAUGGACUCGUAUGUACAGAUAAAUAUUUAUAUAUUGACAUAUAUGACUACCUUCAUUUCGCUCAUUUGAGCAACAGUCAUUGUGAGUGUCUCAAUCACUAUAAUUUCUAGUUAUAAUAUUAUUGAAGACAAGAUUAUAGCUAUAAACGCGAGUUGAGGAGUCUCACUGGAGGUGUUCAGUAAUACACAAUGAUCAUUCUUUACCUUGAAUUCCAGGCGAAUCAAGAAGGAAGGAAGUCCACUUAAGACUUCAUGUGUCUCUAGACAAACUUGUACGAAGUUUGUGAGACAUUUGUAUUCGAAUGUCUCUUCUAGGAUGAUCUUAGACAGAUCUACGACAGGACUAACUAAUGUUAAGGACUAACUUGUGUAAAAUCUUCCCAAUUCUAUAACUUGCUUCGUAAAGAAGAAAUUUGGUGACCCACGAAAUAUAGUUUGCUGGUGGUAAUCAGUAAAGAAUCUCAUCAUAUGUACCAAAGAUUAGCAUAGUGAGAGACAAAUAAGACAUUCCUCAGGUGGCACGAUAUCCACCAAGAUUAGCAUAGUGAGAGACAAAUAAGACAUUCCUCAGGUGGCACAAUAUCCACAAAGAUUAGCAUAGUGAGAGACAAAUAAGACAUUCCUCAGGUGGCACGAUAUCCACCAAGAUUAGCAUAGUGAGAGACAAAUAAGACAUUCCUCAGGUGGCACGAUAUCCACCAAGAUUAGCAUAGUGAGAGACAAAUAAGACAUUCCUCAGGUGGCACAAUAUCCACAAAGAUUAGCAUAGUGAGAGACAAAUAUGACAUUCCUCAGGUGGAACGAUAUCCACCAAUAUUUCUUGUGUGUCGGAAUAAAACUGGAUUCAUGAA